rnacentral:rRNA from 1 species
GAUGAACGCUAGCUACAGGCUUAACACAUGCAAGUCGAGGGGUAACGAGAGGGAAGCUUGCUUUCCUUGUCGACGACCGGCGCACGGGUGAGUAACGCGUAUCCAACCUGCCCCCAACUAGGGAAUAACCUUGCGAAAGUAAGACUAAUACCCUAUAAUUUCCUCAGAUGUCAUCUGACGAGGAAGCAAGAUUUAUCGGUUGUGGAUGGGGAUGCGUCUGAUUAGCUUGUUGGCGGGGUAACGGCCCACCAAGGAAACGAGCAGUAGGGGUUCUGAGAGGAAGGUCCCCCACAUUGGCACUGAGACACGGUCCAAACUCCUACGGGAGGAAGCAGUGAGGAAUAUUGGUCAAUGGGCGGAAGCCUGAACCAGCCAAGUAGCGUGCAGGAUGACGGCCCUAUGGGUUGUAAACUGCUUUUAUACAGGAAUAAAGUUAGCCACGUGUGGUUAUUUGUAGGUACUGUAUGAAUAAGGACCGGCUAAUUCCGUGCCAGCCGCCGCUGUAA